GACGAACGCUGGCGGCGUGCCUAAUACAUGCAAGUCGAGCGAAUGGAUUAAGAGCUUGCUCUUAUGAAGUUAGCGGCGGACGGGUGAGUAACACGUGGGUAACCUGCCCAUAAGACUGGGAUAACUCCGGGAAACCGGGGCUAAUACCGGAUAACAUUUUGAACCGCAUGGUUCGAAAUUGAAAGGCGGCUUCGGCUGUCACUUAUGGAUGGACCCGCGUCGCAUUAGCUAGUUGGUGAGGUAACGGCUCACCAAGGCAACGAUGCGUAGUCGACCUGAGAGGGUGAUCGGCCACACUGGGACUGAGACACGGCCCAGACUCCUACGGGAGGCAGCAGUAGGGAAUCUUCCGCAAUGGACGAAAGUCUGACGGAGCAACGCCGCGUGAGUGAUGAAGGCUUUCGGGUCGUAAAACUCUGUUGUUAGGGAAGAACAAGUGCUAGUUGAAUAAGCUGGCACCUUGACGGUACCUAACCAGAAAGCCUCGGCUAGCUACGUGCCAGCCGCCGCAGUAA
rnacentral:rRNA from 1 species